ensembl:lncRNA
GCGUCCUGAUGGCGUCCCGAUGACGUGGUGUCCUGAUGGUGUCCCGAUGAUGUGGUGUCCUGAUGGCGUCCCGAUGGCGUGGCGUCCUGAUGGCGUCCUGUUGGUCUGCAGACAAGGAGAAGAGACAUGAGGAAGAUCAUCAGGAUGUCUCUGUGUGUACAUCUAAUUGUUAGUGUGUCUGUGUGUAAAUCAAAUUGUUAUUGUGUCUUUGUGUACAUCUAAAUGUUAGUGUGUGUCUUUGUUUAGAACCAAAUGUUAGUGUGUGUGUGUACAUCUAAUUGUUAGUGCGUCUGUGUGUACAUCUAAAUAUUAAUGUGUCUUUGUGUACAUCUAAAUGUUAGUGUGUCUUUGUUUAGAACCAAAUGUUAGUGUGUCUGUGUGUACAUCUAAUUGUUAGUGUGUCUGUGUGUAGAUCUAACUGUUAGUGUGUCUGUGUGUACAUCUAAUUGUUAUUGUGUCUUUGUGUACAUCUAAAUAUUAGUGUGUGUCAUUGUUUAGAACCAAAUGAUAGUGUGUCUGAGUUCAUCUGUGUGUGUGUGUGUGUCAUGAGUAGAUCUGGAUUUGCUCCUGAGGGGUUGACGCGGCGUCCUGAUGGCGUCCCGAUUCAGAUUUGUCCUGAGGGCGUCCCGAUGACGUGGCAUCCUGAUGGCGUCCCGAUGACGUGGUGUCCUGAUGGCGUCCCGAUGGCGUGGCGAGAAGAGACAUCUGGAUUUGCUCCUGAGGGGUUGACGCGGCGUCCUGAUGGCGUCCUGAUGGAAUCCUUAUGGCGUCCCUAUGACGUGGCGUCCUGAUAGCGUCCUGAUGGUGUCCCGAUGACGUAGCGUCCCGAUGACGUGGCGUCCUGAUGGCGUCCUGUUGGUCUGCAGACAAGGAGAAGAGACAUCUGCAUUUGCUCCUGAGGGGUUGACGCGGCGUCCUGAUGGCGUCCCGAUGACGUGGUGUCCUGAUGGCGUCCCGAUGACGUGGCGUCCUGAUGGCGUCCUGUUGGUCUGCAGACAAGGAGAAGAGACAUGAGGAGGAUCAUCAGGAUGUGUCUAUCUGGAUUUGCUCCUGAGGGGUUGAUGUGACGUCCUGAUGGCGUCCCGUUGACGUGGCGUCCUGAUGGCGUCCCGUUGGUCUGCAGACAAGGAGAAGAGACGUGAGGAGGAUCAUCAGGAUGUGAGACAAGAUUCAUAGAUCCAAUUAUUUUAAUUUGAUGCACAUUUUAAUUAUUUCAUGUUUGUAUGGAUGUGUAAAUCUACAUUAUAUAUUUGUGGUUGUUAAACUGUAUUUCUGUAUUUGCUUUUUAUGUUUAGCUAGUCUCUGUGCAUACCAAUAUGUUAGUGCGUCUCUGUGUAAGUACUUUUUACAUUACAUUACAUUUCAUUUAGCUGACGCUUUUAUCCAAAGCGACUUACAAUAAGUGCAUUCAACCAUAGGGUACAAACUCAGAAGUGCAAUUUCCUCAAAUAACUUUUAUAUGUUAGUGCGUCUCUGUGUAAGUACUUUUAUAUGUUAAUGCGUCUCUGUGUACAUCUACAUGACAACAGCAGGAAUCAGAGGUUUAUCUCAAGGUAUUAGCUCUAAAUCACAGCCUUCUCCACCCGAUAGACCAAUACAUCAUUCACAGCAGUAAGGCUGCAGUCUGUCUGGAUUCCUCACUUACCUUGAGCUCUGU